rnacentral:rRNA from 1 species
CUACGGGGGGCACCAGUGGGGAAUAUUGCACAAUGUGCGCAAUCCUGAUUCAUCCAUUCCGCGUGUAUGAAGAAGGCCUUCGGGUUGUAAAGUACUUUCAGCGGGGAGGAAGGGAGUAAAGUUAAUACCUUUGCUCAUUGACGUUACCCGCAGAAGAAGCACCGGCUAACUCCGUGCCAGCAGCCGCGGUAAUACGGAGGGUGCAAGCGUUAAUCGGAAUUACUGGGCGUAAAGCGCACGCAGGCGGUUUGUUAAGUCAGAUGUGAAAUCCCCGGGCUCAACCUGGGAACUGCAUCUGAUACUGGCAAGCUUGAGUCUCGUAGAGGGGGGUAGAAUUCCAGGUGUAGCGGUGAAAUGCGUAGAGAUCUGGAGGAAUACCGGUGGCGAAGGCGGCCCCCUGGACGAAGACUGACGCUCAGGUGCGAAAGCGUGGGGAGCAAACAGGAUUAGAUACCCUAGUAGUC